GACAGAGGGUGCAAACGUUGCUCGGAAUCACUGGGCGUAAAGGGCGUGUAGGCGGGAAGGAAAGUCAGAUGUGAAAUCCCUGGGCUCAACCCAGGAACUGCAUUUGAAACUCCCUUUCUUGAGUACCGGAGAGGAAAGUGGAAUUCCUGGUGUAGAGGUGAAAUUCGUAGAUAUCAGGAGGAACACCAGUGGCGAAGGCGGCUUUCUGGACGGUACUGACGCUGAGACGCGAAAGCGUGGGGAGCGAACAGG
rnacentral:rRNA from 1 species